CCUUAGUAUAUACAGUGUGUUUUAUACACACAUGCUGUACCUAAAUACAUUUUCUUUCAUUCAUAGGGUCUAAAGGGUCUCUGAGCAGCGGUGACUCUGGUGUUGUUGCCAAUGGCAAGGACAGCCCAGACCUUGAAGAAACGGUUCCACUAAACCAGCCCUGAAGUUUCUCCAAGUACCACCAUGUCCAUCAGAGGAACAUAAAGACUCACAGGAACCAGAUUUACCAAUUCAACAAAUACAUUGAUCACUGGGUGGAGGAGAGGAGAAUUUAAAAAGUCCCAACAGCUUGCAAAACUGAUCGAGCAGCUAUAAAAUGUGCUACAAUGGGUUAAAAAA